CAAAUUGAAGUGGGUCUAAGGUGGUAGGUAAGGUAGAGGUGAUCUGAUCCUUGACUAGACUCUCAAAGCACUUCAUGAUGACAGAGGUGAGUGUUACGGGGCGAUAGUCAUUAAGUUCAGUUACCUUUGCCUUCUUGGGUACAGGAACAAUGGGGGCCAUCUUGAAGCAUGUGGGGACAGCAGACUGAGAUAGGGAGAGAUUGAAUAUGCCCGUAAACACGCUGCGAGGGAUGCCGUCUGGGUCGGCAGCCUUGACUUCUCUCUCUCUUUUUGUCUCUCACAGAUUCUAGAAUAGCACUCCGCUUCCUCCGUGUUGUUGGGGUUUGCCUGUACAUUUAUGUACGACUGACAGAGGGGUUUGUGUGUUAUUGUGAUCGAGUGCAGCAUUUGUUUGCGUGUCUGCUACCUGUUCUCUGUUUGUUUGCUUGUGUGUAGGAGUGAGUGUGCAAGGAACAUUUGUUAUGUGUGUGAGUUUGUCUCCUCCACCAUACAACGUCUCAGUCACCUCCAGAAGGCAUCACGGUAAGACGGCCUCACGGAGUGCACAGAUGGUUAUGAGUGGGCUGUUCAGAGUCAGCACUGUAAAGAAGGCUGCCGGUGGGAGAUGAAGUGUUUUAACCACUAUAGCGGCUACCUGUGUCUCCCACGCUCUGCCUCUGUCAUCACCGCCCCUGAACCCUCCAGCCGGUCAGUGGCCACCCUGCCUGUGGAGUCUUUCGAGGCCUUUAGAUUGAGUCAUCUGUGGAUUUGUUGGGGCGGUAUGCAAAUUGGAGUGGGUCCAGGCUGUCUGAGAUGAUGGUGUUGAUGUGAGCUAUGAUCAUCCUUUCAAAGCAUUUCAUGGCAACAGAUGUGUGUACUACGGGCCGAUAGUAAUUUAGACAGGUUACCUUGGCGUUCUUGGGCAUAUGUACUAUGGUGGUCUGCUUGAAACAUGUAGGUAUUACAGACUGGGUCAGGGAGAGGUUGAAAAUGUCAUUGAAGACACUUGUCAGCUGGUCAUCGCAUGCACUGAGUACAUGCCCUAGUAGUCUGUCUGUCUGUCUGUCCCUGCAGCCUUGUGAAUGUUAACCUGUUUCAGUGUUGCUUGCUUUGAAGCGAGUAUAGAUGGCAUUUAGCUCAUCUAGAAAGCUUGCGUCA